rnacentral:rRNA from 1 species
UACGUAGGGCGCAAGCGUUGUCCGGAAUUAUUGGGCGUAAAGAGCUCGUAGGCGGCUUGUCACGUCGGGUGUGAAAGCCCGGGGCUUAACCCCGGGUCUGCAUUCGAUACGGGCAGGCUAGAGUGUGGUAGGGGAGAUCGGAAUUCCUGGUGUAGCGGUGAAAUGCGCAGAUAUCAGGAGGAACACCGGUGGCGAAGGCGGGUCUCUGGGCCGAUACUGACGCUGAGGAGCGAAAGCGUGGGGAGCGAACGGG